rnacentral:rRNA from 1 species
AUUGAACGCUGGCGGCAGGCCUAACACAUGCAAGUCGAGCGGAUGAAGGGAGCUUGCUCCUGGAUUCAGCGGCGGACGGGUGAGUAAUGCCUAGGAAUCUGCCUGGUAGUGGGGGAUAACGUCCGGAAACGGGCGCUAAUACCGCAUACGUCCUGAGGGAGAAAGUGGGGGAUCUUCGGACCUCACGCUAUCAGAUGAGCCUAGGUCGGAUUAGCUAGUUGGUGGGGUAAAGGCCUACCAAGGCGACGAUCCGUAACUGGUCUGAGAGGAUGAUCAGUCACACUGGAAAUGAAACACGGUCCAGACUCCCACGGGAGGCAGCAGUGGGGAAUAUUGGACAAUGGGGGGAAGCCUGAUCCAGCCAUGCCGCGUGUGUGAAGAAGGUCUUCGGAUUGUAAAGCACUUUAAGUUGGGAGGAAGGGCAGUAAGUUAAUACCUUGCUGUUUUGACGUUACCAACAGAAUAAGCACCGGCUAACUUCGUG